UCUCUCUUCUCUUCUCUUCAUUUUCUCUCAAAACCGAACUGUUGCAAAUUGCCUUGGCCGGCGAGCUUCUGUCAGUGACCACCUCCUCUUUAUUCUCUCCCCUUUUUCCCGUCACCAGAGUCAGCCGCGACCACCCUAUCCCCUUUCAUCGUCAGCAACUCCAUCCAGCAAUACUGCUGCUAUCGACCACCGUCUCCCCCCGACGAGCGACCACCCCAACAACAAUCACAAAACAGAUCUGGCCGAAACGAUCUCGCCUAAAAGUUGAACUCCGGUAAAAAUAGGGUAUGACAGUUUGGCGAUUCUGCUGGGGAAUCAAGGCUCUAACUAUAACAGACUUAGGUUUGGAUUCGAGGUCAAAUCUUUUUCAAGAAAGGGAGGAUGAUACAAGACAAAUGGCCUCUGAGUUGCUAGAGAGAAUGCUUACGGUUCAAAUGACACUUGAAGACUUCUUGAGGGCUAUCUAAAUGCAUCCAUUGGAUGAUUAUGAUGACCAAGGAGACUUAAGGAUGUUAGAGAGGCCAAUGGAUGACCAAACGGGGCUAGAAAGUCCCCGAAAGAAGAGAUGUGCCCUAUCUGCUUGGGAGAAGCGCCCAACCCACUCUAGAUUCGCUAGAGCGGGUCAAAAAAGGCCACUAUACCCUUGGGAUGUGCCCCAUGUGUGCACCAUAUGCUUAAGUAAGUACCUAAUGGGCUUCUAUGUGUUUGUCUUUCCUAAAUGGGUCACUUUUGGGCCCAUAUGAUGUAAUAACCUAUCCUAGACUAUAAAUAAGAUUUCUUUUCAUUUUAGUAAGUAGUUUAUGAUGAAUUAUGAAUUUGAACACUUGUGAGAGUGUGAGGUAAACAUGGAUUUGCUUGUGUUGAUCAUUUGUAUAGAAACGUGGGUUGUUUGAGAAUUGAUUCCCUUGAGGUCUAUGUAAGAUUUAAGUGCUUUUUUUGGUUUAAUUGAUUGAGGAUUUAGGGUUUGAUACACCCUUUAUUUGCUUUUAAUUCCUUGCAUUGUGUUUAUCCUAUUGCUUCUCUAUAUCUCUUUAGCUUUCAUUUUCGUAUCGUAGUUUAGUUUUCAAUU